AUUGUAAAACAAAAUCAUCAGUAUAUAAAAUCAGUACAUAAUUAGCAAGCUAUCCUCCAAGAAGCAGAUCACAUCACACACUGUCCAAAAGGAACAGCUUUGCUGACAAGGCACUGACAUAGUUAAGAGAAACCAUGAAUCACGCAAGGGGCCAGGAAAAUGGUGCUGCCCAGCUCACAUUCAGAGGCAGCAUAAUUUAUGAAGCUCUGAGGACAGUGGGAGGUAGGCUGUCAGAAAUGCUAAGUCCUCUGUGGAAUUAUUACAUUCCCUUUGAAAGAUUCCAUGUCAUUGAAACGAGGUAAUCUGGGGAAGCUUGGAGGUUCUGUGCAAUUGGGGAAAUGUGCAAAGAUACUUGGAAAUGAAGCCAAAUUUUUUUCAGCCCUUUUCCCACUGGAAAUCAGGCCCAAGGUCUUAUGAAAACAGACUUUCUUUUCAAACAUCAGGAGGAAAUACUGCAAGAAGGAUGCCCAUGGCACUUUGAAUGUUCCGGAUCCACCAAUAUCAGAAAGAUCUUCAGUGAGGUGGAGGAGCAGCGCAGCAGCCAAGAGAAAGAUGGGAUUGACAGAGGGAAAUAAAAAGAAUUCUGAAAUGUAAUAGACUGGAUAAUCAGGAUACAGUAGGCCAUGGUCACAUUUGAGCUCCAGGUGGUGUCUGAUUGACUUGGAAACAGUGCAGUCGGGGCAAAUUUUGCCCUCACAUUUCCUGGCAACUUUGGGUUCAAAGAUAUUAGCUGUUACUUGACAUUCCUACUGGCAAAAAUGAAGGGCAUGCCUCUGUUGACAAAGCAUGAAAUGUCAUCUGUUGUCUCUGUAAUGCCAUAAAUAAAAAUAAGUCAUUGAUUCCAUAGAAGAGCAAGAAAAAAGAGCAGGAAGAGCAUAAAUGUUAGUUACCAUAUUUCUCCGUCAUCUGUGUCAUGCGAUGGGGCAGCACAUGUCACCAGGCAACAGCAACAUGGGGCUGUUUCUUGGCCCUCUCAGCUCCGGGACUGGGAUAAUCCAUUAAAUCAUCUCACAACUUUCUGGGUAUUCUUGAGCCCUAUUCAUCCUCUUUGGUUCCGAAACUGAUUUAGAGAAGGGGGACUCUGAGUAAUCUGUAAAGUACUGUUUAUCUACAAGAUUUUGGUAUGCUAAGCCUGAAUCAGCAAUUAGGUUUAAUG